rnacentral:rRNA from 1 species
GACGGAGGGUGCAAGCGUUGUUCGGAAUCACUGGGCGUAAAGCGCGUGUAGGCGGUCAUAUAAGUCGAAUGUGAAAUACCGGGGCUUAACCUCGGCAGUGCAUUCGAUACUGUAUAGCUUGAGUACGGGAGAGGGAAGCGGAAUUCCAGGUGUAGAGGUGAAAUUCGUAGAUAUCUGGAGGAACACCGGUGGCGAAGGCGGCUUCCUGGACCGAUACUGACGCUGAGACGCGAAAGCGUGGGGAGCAAACAGGAUUAGAUACCCUGGUAGUCCACGCUGUAAACGGUGAGCAUUAGGUGUAGCGGGUAUUGACCCCUGCUGUGCCGCAGCUAACGCAUUAAGUGCUCCGCCUGGGGAGUACGGCCGCAAGGUUAAA